rnacentral:misc_RNA from 1 species
AUGAAGAACGUAGCGAAAUGCGAUAAGUAAUGUGAAUUGCAGAAUUCAGUGAAUCAUCGAAUCUUUGAACGCAUAUUGCGCCCGCCAGUAUGCUGGCGGGCAUGCCUGUCCGAGCGUCAUUUCAACCCUCGCGCCCAUCUGGGCUGCGGUGUUGGGGACCGGCCUGCCCCCCCGGGGCGCGCCGCCCCCCAAAUUCAGUGGCGGUCUCGCUGCAGCCUCCCUUGCGUAGUAGCACACCUCGCUCCGGAGCGCAGCGCGGCCACGCCGUAAAACCCCCGACCCCCAUGAGUUUGACCUCGGAUCAGGUAGGAAUACCCGCUGAACUUAAGCAUAUCAAUAAGCGGAGGA